UACGGAGGAUGCGAGCGUUAUCCGGAUUUAUUGGGUUUAAAGGGUGCGUAGGCGGACUGUCAAGUCAGCGGUAAAAUUGAGAGGCUCAACCUCUUCCCGCCGUUGAAACUGGUGGUCUCGAGCGGAUGAGAAGUACGCGGAAUGCGUGGUGUAGCGGUGAAAUGCAUAGAUAUCACGCAGAACUCCGAUUGCGAAGGCAGCGUACCGGCAUCCAACUGACGCUGAGGCACGAAAGCGUGGGGAUCAAACAGG
rnacentral:rRNA from 1 species